rnacentral:rRNA from 1 species
UACGUAGGGGGCAAGCGUUGUCCGGAAUCAUUGGGCGUAAAGGGCGCGUAGGCGGAUAUUUAAGUCUGGUGUGAAAUAUAGAGGCUCAACCUCUAGACGGCAUCGGAAACUGGAUAUCUUGAGGACAGGAGAGGAAAGUGGAAUUCCACGUGUAGCGGUGAAAUGCGUAGAGAUGUGGAGGAACACCAGUGGCGAAGGCGACUUUCUGGACUGUAACUGACGCUGAGGCGCGAAAGCGUGGGGAGCAAACAGG